GACGUAGGAGGCGAGCGUUAUCCGGAUUCACUGGGCGUAAAGCGCGUGUAGGUGGUUCGGCAAGUCGGUUGUGAAAGCCCCUGGCUCAACUGGGGGAGGUCAGCCGAAACUGCGGGACUGGAGGACCAGAGAGGAAGGUGGAAUUCCCGGUGUAGCGGUGGAAUGCGUAGAGAUCGGGAGGAACACCAGUGGCGAAAGCGGCCUUCUGGCUGGUAACUGACACUGAGACGCGAAAGCGUGGGUAGCAAACGGG
rnacentral:rRNA from 1 species